AGGGGACACAAAACUCGAAGGUUGGGUGCAGACUCGGAGAGGUGGGUGAAACGGCUGGGCACAGACUCUUGGGACUGGCUACAGACUCCGGGCUGGGCGCAGACUCCGGGCUGGGCACAGACUUGGGGCUGGGUGCAGACUCUGGGGCUGGGUGCAGACUCUGGGGCUGGGUGCAGACUCCGGGCUGGGUGCAGAUUCCGGGGCUGGGUGCAGACAUGGGCUGGGUACAGACUCCAGGCUGGGUGCAGACACGGGCUGGGUACAGACUCCGGGGCUGGGUGAGACAUGGGCUGGGCACAGACUCCGGGCUGGGUGCAGACUCCGGGGCUGGGUGCAGACAUGGGCUGGGUGCAGACUCUGGGCUGGGUGCAGACAUGGGCUGGGUGCAGACUCCGGGCUGGGUGCAGACAUGGGCUGGGUGCAGACUCCAGGCUGACAUGGGCUUAUCUACUGUGCAGGCGACCCCUGCACCCACCACCUCCUCUACCUUGGUACUUACAUGGCAGCACCACUGCCCCCACCACGGGGUCCAGCAUGGCACUCACCACUGCAUGCCGCACACAAUGCCAAACACAGCACCCACCAUGGCGCGGAGCGCUCUCUGGGGCGUCCUCCCCACAUUCUGGGCCUCCAGGGCUGCACCUGUGAUCCUCACUCUGGACCCCAAGCAAACACCCCCACCACCCAACUCCCCACUGCCCGGGCGUCUCAGAGCUUUCCAGGAGAACACGUACGUCUCCCAGCUGACUCCAUGAUGGCAGCCCGCAGACUCUCCGCUUCCUCACUGAUCUGCUGCCUGAGACCCCCCUCCUGACCCCGGUUUCUCCAUCGUGUACUCAAUCAUGUUACAGAAACCGAAAGAGCAGGAUGGGCACGGGGGGGGGGGGGGACCCAGUGAGGAAGUUCCUACCUUGGCAGAGCUUCUGGUUUAGUAGAGAAAAAUAAGACGGUUACAUAAAUCCCUAAAAUUAGAUUAGAGUUUCAAAUGUAAUCAGGGAUUCUGAAAAGAAGUCGCUAUGGAAGCACCUGGGAGAGAGAAUCUUUCUGGCUGAGGAAUGGGGAGGAGAUGCAGGAGGGUGGGAGCAAAGGGACUGCCCUGCCCCAGGUCUGCGAUCCUGGCCGCCUCCGGCCACACACGUCCGUGCCACAUCUGUCCAACGCCAGGAUCAGACGAGCGGAUCUCUGCAGUCACCUCCGGCAGUGUUUGCACAGCUCUGGGGCAAAGGCAGCAUGGGCUGCACCUUCAACGACCAUCAGGACUUGGCACAGGGAGAGCGGAGAACAUCCCUGGGUGUGAGCUAGCCUGGAGACCUGGACGGACGGGGCUGGAGCCAAGGGGAGCUACAGCUGAGGGUACAGAUGAGGCGGUAGCAAAGGGCAAGCCAGGGGGACUCACAGGGCACCCUCGGCAUGAAUUCUCAGAUGCCCUCGAAAGGGCCAGGCGCCCAGGGCUUGUACCACUCACGGGGUUGCAGUGGGAGUCUUGAUGCAUCUGCACGGCGCCUCCCUCCAAGUGGCCUUAAUACACAGCCUGCCAGUCACCUUGCGUGCCCCACUUGAAGAACAACCCUUCUGAAGUCUGCAAGUUUUCCCAGGAACACAACACAGUAAGAGGUGAGCAGAGCCCUAGGAGGGUCACAAAACCCGGCGUGAUCAGUAACUCUCACGAGAGAGCUGACCAUCACCAGCUCCAGAACGUGGAAUCCCUCCCUUUUCUCCCACGUGCUUCGCCUGCAGGGCUGUGCUGGCAUAAGCAGAAGCACCUCUGUAUCGACUCCAUCGACACUUGGACUAACUUAUAGCUCAGGGCAGCAGAACCACACCAGCCUCCGAGACCGCUCUGAAGAUGGCGCACGAGGUUCCUGGACAGUCAAGAGAAAGGCUGCCAAGGGCAGGUGCUGUGAUCUUCCCUGGCACUCCCCCCUUCCCUCCAAGGAAUCAGAAGGCAGGCAAACAACUGGAGGAAAUACAGGGAAAGAGGCUGCUCCAAAAGGAAAUGAUGCAAACACAAUCGCACAGCUGAGACUUGCCGGUGGAUACAGGGAAUGAUAGCAACAGUGCUACCCUGGACGCCUUGGCACCAGCAGCUCCCAGAGACGGCCAGCCCCACCCGGGCACAUCAGCAGCAAUGCGCCCCUGGCCGCUCAGCCCCGCUGUGCUGGUUCUGAGCUCUCCACGGACCCCGCGCUGUUUCUUGCUGUUCCCAGGCUCCAUGUUGACACUGAUCCUCUCGCCUGCUGGCCAGCUCAGGUGCAUCCUUCCAGUCCCCCGAGCAGACCCGGGCUGAACAGGCGUCCCCGCCGGUCCCACUGCUCUCUGCACGCCUACAUCAUCGCCCUGACCCUGAUGUUACAUCAGUCUGGGAAUGUUCUUGCUUCCAGCUCCCCAGACUACAGCUUGCUCAAGGUCAUGGACUCAUUUCCUGCAGACCUCUGAGCUCAAAGCCCGGCUUCAACACUUAACAUCUGUGAGACCCUGGGCAGCACCGCUGCUGUCAGAUGAGGGCAGUGGUAUGCACGUGUCAUCUGGGACCAGGUGAAAGCUACACCUUCCAUAAUGCACGCCACACACCCAUGCUUGAUGCCCAGUGCAUGGGAAACACUUAAUGGAUAUUAACUACUGUCUGUCCCCAGGCCCACAGACCCGGGAGAGAGCAGAACACAGCCUGGCAAACCUCUUCAUAACAUCGAGGAACUGACUUCUCUCUGCAACACUGCAUCCACCUUGUGAGCCGGCUCCUUAGAGGAAGCCUUUCUCCCACUCCCAGAAACCAGUCUGGAAACAUGCCAAUUCAAGUUUUAGAUCAGGGAGCUAGAGAUAUUUAGCAGCAAUGAACUGCUCAUCAUCCCUGAGAAAAAUCUGCAAUUUGCAUUUUUUUCUUGCAAAAAUCCUUACAAAUAGUUGCAUCUGGGGAGUGGUCUUGCAAAAUUCUCUUAUAACAUGUGAUUGAAACAGGAGUAUUUUUAUUUCUGGAUCUGGGUAAACAUUUGGGCCAACAUCUUGAUUUUACCCUGAAGGAACUGCGGCCACCUAGGGAGGUGAAGACACGUGCCAAGGUCACAUAGCUGUGCCACUCACACAGCUCUGUCCUCCAGCACUGGCACCCGACAGGGAAGGGAGGGGAGGCUUCAACUUAAUUUCUUCAUAUCAUUAAGAAAAGGUCCUCGUGUGUAUCAGUAACACACAAAGGGAGAAAGGAAACUGGUCCCAGGAACAAAGACCUCAAAUGCUCUGCCAGCCGCACAGACCUGGCUGUCAGAAAACUGCCCAGAGUGACCGUGAACCGUCCACCUCCCCCGGAAGCAUCCCAUUCCUUUCAUGGCCUUUCUGCUGCCUCUGAGAAGCCCCCCAACAUGCACACAUGCUCCCCACAAAGUCAGGGGGCCCGGCCUGGUCAGAUACCUGGGAAGCACCCAAGGGCUGUAAGACAGCCUGAGUGCUGCUGACCACCAGACUCCUGGGGACACCAGAGGACCUCAAGUGCAGCCUGUGGAAGGGACCACACACAGAGUCGGAAAUGCUGAUGCCAGGGCGAGGCUUCCAGCCUCAGCCCACCGUGUGCCCUGGGCUCCCCAGCCCCUCCGAGCCGAGCCCCUGUCCCCGGGCUCACAACGAGGGGGCUGAAGGGAGGGAUCCGUGGCAAACCACCUGGUUCUGAGAUUCUCAGCCUCCAAGGACAGACUUCCUCCAGCUCCGGAGAGAAAGACUCUCAGGAGGGAGGAGCAAUGUAACAAAAACAAGCAGCAGGGACAAGUCAGGAACCACGGUGGGAAAGGCCACAUUCUCAGUGGGGCCACGUGGCUCGGAGCCCUGGGCUGCCCAGGAGCAGGGGGCACCGUGUGAGGUCUCCCAAAGUCCCAAACCACAUCCAGUUCCCAGCCGACACACGGUACCCAAGCAUCAGUCUGGACGAGGGACUGAAAGCCAGCAAGCUAGGCACUGGACGGCCCCUAGAGAACAGAGAACCAACGGAGCUCUGGGCGUUCUCAAACUCUGCCUCGGCCACAGGCCCGCGGCUGUCCCCGUCACUCACUCCAGUUAGCACCUCACUAGUUCCCUUCCAGGGACGGCGAUGUCACUGUCAGGCCUCUUUAAAAACUGGAAAACUCAACUUGUGCUGAGCCUGGGAAUUUCUCAUCCCACUUCCUCAAGAGGGCCUGGAUCCAGGAGCAGCCCUCUGAGAAGGGGCAGCCAUGGAGGCCCACCCUGGGGGAGAGGGUCCCCAGGCCUGCCCCUCUCCACACACCACGCUGACCAUCACUGGCUCCCGGUGCCAUGGACAGCCCCAGAGCCCUGGACUGGAAUUCAGAGAUUUCAUGACUUAUCCCCAUCUGACCCCUGUAGUCACACUUGCUCUGCAUGUUUUAAAAAUUCAUGAAAACAUCGGGUGCAUGCAGGGCCUGGCGGUUAGGACGCCAGCUGGCAUGUCUGCAUCUGGCGUCAGCGUGCCUGGGUUUGCGUUCUGGCUCCACUCUGGAGUCCAGCUUCCUGCCAAUGCACAACCUGGCAAGCAGCAACUGAAGGCUCAAGUACCUGAGUCCCUGCCACCCACGUGGGAGAUCCAGAUUGAGAACCUGGUUCUGGGGCUGGCGCUGUGGAGCAGUGGGUUAAAGCCCCAGCCUGCAGCGCUGGCAUCCCAUGUGGGCAGUUCAAGUCCCGGCUGCUCCUCUUCCGAUUCAGCUCCCUGCUAUGGCCUGGGAAAGCAGUAGAAGAUGGCCCAAGUCUUUUGGCCCCUGCACCCACGUGGGAGACCCAGAAGAAGCUCCUGGCUCUCAGCUUUGGAUCAGCUCAGCUCUGGCCAUUGCAGUCAUUUGGGGAGUGAACCAGUGGAAUGGAAGACCUCUCUCUCUCUGGCUCUACCUCUCUCUGUAACUCUGUCUUUCAAAUAAAUAAAAUAAAUCUUUAAAGAGAGAGAGAGAG
rnacentral:lncRNA from 1 species